CAGAAACCUGCUCUAUCCCUUGCAAAAAUAAAAAAUGUGGCAAAAACUGCAUCGUUUCUAGGGCUCUCGAAAAUUUGAAAGUUUUCAUAUGAGAGGGUAAUGAAAUUGCAGAAGCGGGAAAUUACAGUUGACGGGCAAGGUGAGUCGUAGCAUGGUCACGCACAUAACAGCGGUAACUGUUGCUCCAGAGUAUUGGAGGCAGCAGCUUGCGAAGAAGCUCAUGAACCUCCUUGAAGGCUUCAGCGAUAAGAUGUGAAAAAGAAUUCAGGUUCAGGUGACAUUGGUGGUACAAAGGAGCCUCUUCUUCAUGGGGUGCA